rnacentral:tRNA from 1 species
ACGGGCGUAGCUCAACUGGUAGAGUGGCGGUCUCCAAAACCGUAGGUUGUAGGUUCGAGCCCUACCGCCCGUG